GAUGAACGCUGGCGGCGUGCUUAACACAUGCAAGUCGAACGGAAAGGCUCCUGCUUGCAGGGGUACUCGAGUGGCGAACGGGUGAGUAACACGUGGGUGAUCUGCCCUGCACUUCGGGAUAAGCCUGGGAAACUGGGUCUAAUACCGGAUAGGACGAUGGUUUGGAUGCCAUUGUGGAAAGUUUUUUCGGUGUGGGAUGAGCUCGCGGCCUAUCAGCUUGUUGGUGGGGUAAUGGCCUACCAAGGCGUCGACGGGUAGCCGGCCUGAGAGGGUGACGGCCACAUUGGGACUGAGAUACGGCCCAGACUCCUACGGGAGGCAGCAGUGGGGAAUAUUGCACAAUGGGCGCAAGCCUGAUGCAGCGACGCCGCGUGGGGGAUGACGGCCUUCGGGUUGUAAACUCCUUUCGCUAGGGACGAAGCGCAAGUGACGGUACCUGGAGAAGAAGCACCGGCUAACUACGUG
rnacentral:rRNA from 1 species